rnacentral:rRNA from 1 species
GAUGAACGCUGGCGGCGUGCCUAAUACAUGCAAGUCGAGCGAACGGACGAGAAGCUUGCUUUUCUGAUGUUAGCGGCGGACGGGUGAGUAACACGUGGAUAACCUACCUAUAAGACUGGGAUAACUUCGGGAAACCGGAGCUAAUACCGGAUAAUAUUUUGAACCGCAUGGUUCAAAAGUGAAAGACGGUCUUGCUGUCACUUAUAGAUGGAUCCGCGCUGCAUUAGCUAGUUGGUAAGGUAACGGCUUACCAAGGCAACGAUGCAUAGCCGACCUGAGAGGGUGAUCGGCCACACUGGGACUGAGACACGGUCCAGACUCCUACGGGAGGCAGCAGUAGGGAAUCUUCCGCAAUGGGCGAAAGCCUGACGGAGCAACGCCGCGUGAGUGAUGAAGGUCUUCGGAUCGUAAAACUCUGUUAUUAGGGAGGAACAUAUGUGUAAGUAACUGUGCACAUCUUGACGGUACCUAAUCAGAAAGCCACGGCUAACUACGUG